GAAAGCCUGACGGAGCAACGCCGCGUGCGGGAGGACGGCCUGUGGGUUGUAAACCGCUUUUCUCAGGGGAGAUGAUGACGGUACCUGAGGAAUCAGCAUCGGCUAACUCCGUGCCAGCAGCCGCGGUAAUACGGAGGAUGCAAGCGUUAUCCGGAAUUAUUGGGCGUAAAGCGUCCGCAGGUGGUUAUGCAAGUCUGCUGUUAAAGAGUGGGGCUUAACUCCAUAAGGGCAGUGGAAACUGUGUGACUAGAGUGUGGUAGGGGCAGAGGGAAUUCCCAGUGUAGCGGUGAAAUGCGUAGAUAUUGGGAAGAACACCAGUGGCGAAGG
rnacentral:rRNA from 1 species